UCAGACGAUGAGAUAUAAUAGUUAUUAUUUUUAUUAUUUUCUUUUCUUUUUUGUGCAGUUGUUGGUGAUUGGUGAUACGUCUCCUUAAAUGAAUAAGGUUAUGAAAUAGAUUCCACUUUUCUUUUGGCGUGCGAAUUAAAUAUAACCAGAAGAUGCGAAGCCUAAAUUACGUGGAUGAGGCACCCACUUCUUAUUUCACAGUACUUAAAGUUUCGAUACUUCAAGACGGAUUGUAGAUGGUUUAUCGACUUAAAGCUAUUGUGUAUUGGUAAAUAUUGGAUGCCAUGUUAUGAUUUUGGAGAUUGAAUUUUAAAAUUUUUGUCUUAUGCUUACGAAAAGAUACGUUAUAAUAUUUUCAUCUGUUAUAUAUUUUUGGGGAUGUACAUAUUUGUUCGUUCGUAUGAUUGCCUGGUGACAGCAUCGAAUUUGCUUUUAUCUCGCUGUUAGUGGAUGGCUUGGUAGUAGUGGAGUGAUGCAAGAGACUCCUCAAGUUGCUGGUCUAUGGACUGGUGGUAAUGAAAUGCUGAUGGUGAUAGAACUCGAGCUGGUGGAGUUGAACUGUUGGUGAUGCAACUUAGCGAGAGGAGCUGAUGUUGUGGACUGACUGGUGGUGGAUGGAAAAUGAAAUACAGGUGAAUGAAGUGGUGGUCGUCAAUGGUGGGUGUAUGCAGGUGGAAGAUGUGGGCUGUAGAGGAGCAUAAAGCUCCUCUUUGUGGAGUUUCAGCGAAGCAUGCACUGAGUGAAGGCUCUUGUGAUGGAAAAGAAUAGUAAGAGAUAGUGUGAACGGGUUAAGAGCAUGCACUAAGUUACUGAAGAAUAAUGAACACAGCUUGCUCGAAAGAAAAACAAGAGUGAAGUUUCUUGCGAUAAGAAAACAUCUGCAGAAAAUAAUAAACACUAGCUAACAAGUUCGAGUUAAGUUUACAGAAAACGCCAUCUGUAAAGAAAGCCAUCUAUAAAUGCCUAAAUCAAUCAAUACAUUGUGUACAUGUGAACAGUGAGACAAUGUGUGUAAGUUGUUAAA